rnacentral:misc_RNA from 1 species
GAUGAAGAACGCAGCGAAAUGCGAUAAGUAAUGUGAAUUGCAGAAUUCAGUGAAUCAUCGAAUCUUUGAACGCACAUUGCGCCCGCUAGUAUUCUGGCGGGCAUGCCUGUUCAAGCGUCAUUUCAACCAUCAAGCCCCAGGCUUGUGUUGGGGGCCUGCGGCUGCCGCAGCCCCUGAAAAGCAGUGGCGGGCUCGCUGUCAUUCCGAGCGCAGUAGUUACAUCUCGCUCCGGGCGUGGCGGUGGGCACCUGCCGUGAAACACUCCUUCUAAGGUUGACCUCGGAUCAGGUAGGAAUACCCGCUGAACUUAAGCAUAUCAAUAAGCGGAGGA